GUCACCCCUUAUACCUCCCGUGUUCAGCCGCCAACCCACCCUAUCUCUUCUAGUUGCAGCCGCACCUCACGACUCCUCCAUCACCGAUCAUUGUUCCUCGCUUGUGAAGUCGGAGGGCCACCGAGAUAUUGCCGCUGCCACCGGUAUAGCCGGGAACGCCAACUAAAGGGUCGUGGAACCCCUUCAGCCGCCGCCAAGGACCACCGAACCCUCUCCGUCCUUCUCUCUAUCUUCCUCUCGCCGACAGUCGCACGUUGCUGAGAAGGAACCGUCGUGUUAGGCGAUUGGGCACCGGAUGGGGGAAACUAUCGUCGAGUCAGGAUCGUAGCACCACCAUGAGCGUCGCUGUUGCAUCCAUUCCGUGACCAUCGAAGUGCCACCACCGCUACCGGCUUCUAGAAGCGCUAAGCAUAGUUGGGAAGCCGUCGAGAUUGAGAAGAAAGUCCUGUCAGUUGUGGUGCGAAUCGGGAAGCGAUGUUGCAAUGUUGCUGCCGCCUCCUCGGAGGUUUCGUCAUCGCCAACCGCCACCAGGAGGGUGGCUGGAUCCACUGGCAAACAAGAAAGUUUCGGGAAUCUGUCAGCCAGCAGCUGGGGUGGAGUCUGCGGGACUACAGCAGUGUGGAAUUGUGUCUACGGGACUUCAGCAGUGUGAGGUACUCAGUUUUCAAAAGAUGAGCUCGGGAAGAUUGCAGUGCACACACCAUUUGUUCAGCCUGGGAUGUUUAUACUUUGAUAUAUUUGACAGCUGUUAACAUAUUUUGAGAUACAUUCUUUAUGAUUCUUAUAUGACGUUUGAUGGAUAUGGUUUUAUUACUAAUUUAAAACGAAAUUUUCAGACUAUA